rnacentral:rRNA from 1 species
CAAUAGCGUAUAUUAAAGUUGUUGCAGUUAAAAAGCUCGUAGUUGGAUUUCGGGGCAACCUGGCUGGUCCGCCGCAAGGCGAGUACUGGUCAGCCGCCCUUCCUCUCGAAAGCCCCGACUGCUCUUCGUUGCAGUGGUCGGGUAGUUCGGGACGUUUACUUUGAAAAAAUUAGAGUGUUCAAGGCAGGCCUACGCCUGAAUACAUUAGCAUGGAAUAAUGGAAGAGGACCUCGGUCCUAUUUUGUUGGUUUCCAGGGCCGAAGUAAUGAUUAAGAGGGACAGUUGGGGGCAUUCGUAUUUAAUUGUCAGAGGUGAAAUUCUCGGAUUUAUGAAAGACGAACAACUGCGAAAGCAUUUGCCAAGGAUGUUUUCAUUAA